AGANUAGCCGGUCUCCGAAUGCCUUAGAUUAAGUUGAUCAUGGCUCAGAGCNAACGCUGUUAGGUAGCCUAACACAUGCAAGUCGAACGGCAGCACAGGAGAGCUUGCUCUCUGGGUGGCGAGUGGCGGACGGGUGAGGAAUACAUCGGAAUCUACUCUGUCGUGGGGGAUAACGUAGGGAAACUUACGCUAAUACCGCAUACGACCUACGGGUGAAAGCAGGGGACCUUCGGGCCUUGCGCGAUUGAAUAGAGCCGAUGUCGGAUUAGCUAGUNUGGCGGGGUAAAGGCCCACCAAGGCGACGAUNCCGUAGCUGGUCUGAGAGGAUGAUCAGCCACACUGGAACUGAGACACGGUCCAGACUCCUACGAGGAGGCAAGCAGUGGGGAAUAUUGGACAAUGGGCGCAAGCCUGAUACAGCCAUACCCGCGUGGGUGAAGGAANG
rnacentral:rRNA from 1 species